CGGGAUGUAGCGCAGUUGGUUAGCGUAUCUGCUUUGGGAGCAGGGGGUCAUGUGUUCAAAUCACAUCAUCUCGA
rnacentral:tRNA from 1 species